rnacentral:rRNA from 1 species
GUUUCUAUCUAUGACAUGUUUUCUUUCAGUACGAAAGGAUCAAAGAAAAAAGGCCCAUGCUUAAAGUAAGCCUUACCCCAACCUAAUGAAAACAAAUCAAUUAGGUAAAAGGCAUAUCUUCCAAACCGGAGAUAACGAC